GAUGGGAUAGUCAAGUGGUAUAAUAACCUCGCUCCGGAGCAGGAAGUCCCAGGUUCGAGUCCUGGUCCUAUCA
rfam:Oikopleura dioica, whole genome shotgun assembly, reference scaffold set, scaffold scaffold_143